UUACAGGUGUGAGCCACCAUGCCAGGGUAUUAUUAUUUAUUGGCAUGAUUAUAUUGUAUCCUCUUUGAUAUGCCCCAUGCUCCUUAUUUUCCAACAGCUCAACUAUCUUAAACAGAUCCCAACUUACGUUGGGGCUGAGAAGCAGUUACUUACUCUUGGAUUUUCCUGGUCACCCAGCUGGAGCGGGUUUCCAGGCUCUCAGGAACUUCUGCUUCUCUAGCCCCAACAAAUUAUUAAAUUCUUAGAUAAGAGGACUCUGAUCCUUGCUUUUGGGUUGUGGUGGUGAGGUAGCAGCUAGUGAAUCAUCCCAUGGACGUGGCCUUGGAGUCUCUCUUCCCCGUCCUUUCCUCUUGAGCUAAAGGUGUAGCUGUGGGUAAUGAGAUUCACUGAGCCCAGCCACAGGCAGUCCCAGGAGUCCUUCUGGAUUAUUACAGCAACAUCCCCAACAAAGCCUCAGUAUAAGCCAUUCUGGGGAGACUUUGUGACUCAAUGUGCAUCUACUGUAGGCCUGGUUUAUUUGGAUUGCUUCCCAGUUUCUAAGGAAUUUUGAAAAUUGGAGUCCCAAGUAUGGAUCUGCUGAGGGAAACUUCCCCUCUCUGGAGUGAAGUUGUGGGGUUUCUCUUGAGACUCAUUACAACCUUAAGAUAACAAGGCCCCAGCCACUUCCAAAUCCCUUGGCUGUUGAUUGCUCUAACUUUAGGACUGAAGUUUGCCCUUUUCCCCCAGCUGCAGAGCACAGUAACUUAGGAUAAAGUUUAAUGAGUCUCACUGAGGGCCUGAGGAAAAAAUGGCAGGCCAGAGCUGGGGCCAGUGGGGUAAUGGCCAUGGGCAGGAGCCAUGUGGAGUGUGUGGCCAUGCUGGGCCAGGAGCUGCAGGGUAAUUCUUCCUCUGCCCGUCUACCUCUUCAUCUCCCAUGCUCGUUGAGCCUGCUCCAGCCGUAGAGGCCUUCUUGUUCUUCAAGCACAUCCACUAGUGCCCAUCUCAGAGCCUGGGACCCCACCCCUGUGGACUCUGCUCAGUGUCACCUCCGUAGAUGAACUUCUCCUGUCUUCUGUAAAAAAGAACCCCCUCCUUGUUAUUCUCUGUUCCCUUACAUUGCUCUAUUUUUAUUCAUAGGACUAUCUGAUGUUGUACCUACAUAUUGAUAUUUGUCUUCCCUGCUAGAAAGAAAACUCCAUGAGGGCAGAGACUUUAACCUAUUCAUUGCUGUGCCCUUGUGCCUAGAACAGUGCUUAGCAAAGCAUAAAGGAAGAGAUGAGGAAUGACACUUUGAAGGUUCUUGGAUUGCUACUCAAUUUUUGCAGUGACUUUGAUAUCAAUUUAUCCUAAAUGCUUCUCUGAAUUCAGUCAUUCAGGUUGUGAGAAAGAAGAGGAAAAGAGCAUUACUGCUGCUUGUCAUGUGAGGAUUCACGUACAGAUAGUAAGGAA